rnacentral:rRNA from 1 species
UACGUAGGUGGCAAGCGUUGUCCGGAUUUACUGGGCGUAAAGAGCGCGCAGGCGGUCGUGCAAGUCGGGUGUGAAAGCCCCCGGCUCAACUGGGGAGGGUCACGCGAUACUGCUCGACUCGAAGGCAGGAGAGGGAAGUGGAAUUCCCGGUGUAGUGGUGAAAUGCGUAGAUAUCGGGAGGAACACCGGUGGCGAAGGCGGCGACCUGGGUAGAUACUGACGCUGAGGUGCGAAAGCGUGGGGAGCAAACAGG